UACGUAGGGGGCGAGCGUUGUCCGGAGUUACUGGGCGUAAAGCGCACGCAGGCGGUCUGCUAAGUUUGGAGUGACAGUUGGUGGCUUAACUGCCAAAGUGCUUCGAAAACUGACAGACUUGAGGGCUUCAGAGGGACACAGAAUUCCGGGUGGAGUGGUGAAAUGCGUAGAUAUCGGGAGGAACACCAGUGGCGAAGGCGGUUGCCUGGGGCUUUGCUGACGCUGAUGCGCGAAAGCGUGGGGGAGCAAAAAGG
rnacentral:rRNA from 1 species